UUCUUCAACACAAAGCACGCAGCAUCUGCAAAACCCUAGUUCCGUUUCACUCCUUUUCGUGUCCUCUCUCCAUUCCAGUUCCUCGGGUUCUCUUAUAAAUCUCAGCCUUCGGGUGAUCUCCGUCAAUCUGUUUUUUGUUGUGUUUCGAUUUGUAUUGAUAUCGCUCGAUGAAGAUGAUGAGAAGUGUAUGUCGCCCCAGUCUUAUUUGCUUUCAUAUAUCAAAUCAAAACAGGUCUUGCGACACAGUGGGCAUCUCUUACAAUAAGCUCUCUGUUACUUUAUCCCUGCUUAUACUUCAUUCAAUGAUAAUUUGUGUUGUAUAAUGUUCUGAUAAUUGUUGUUUUCGGUUUAUAUUUUUUAAAUGGCUUUCUCUUUUUGUGGUUUGGUGAUGAGGCUCACGAGGUGGGUAAUGGUCCGAAUAAGAUCUGCGUUCUUGACUUUGUUGUCCUAGCGUUGUUUUUACAUGAAGGACCGGAGAAAUCAAAGGCUCUGGGUUACGUUUCAGGAGAGGAUGCACCACUGGAUUUGUUCAUGUGACAUUUUUGUUUUGUUUUUUGAAUAUUGUGUAGAUCUUUACUGCAGUUCAAAGCGUUGUAAUUGCUACAGAGUUGAUGUAAUCGAAUUCUCUGAGAUUAAAAAAUUCAUUUACUUUUCUUGCUAAA